rnacentral:lncRNA from 1 species
UUCAUAUGUUUCUGCGAUUCUGUUUUGCCCUCUGCCAAAGACUUUUGGGGCCAAUUUUUGGGCCGACCUUUGGGGGAGCUAAAUGAAGCUCUUACUUUGAGCCACCACUUUCUUGAGGCCCCAACUCAUUCCAACUUACAUCCAUAAACAUAGUUUAGAAUAUUUUCUUUUCGAUUUUGUCUUCAGUAUUCUUAUUUUAUGCCCAUGAUAUUCAGUUAUUACUGAUUGCUUUGAGGGUAUAUGACAUUUAACAGGGGUAAUAGAAUGGAUG